rnacentral:rRNA from 1 species
UACGUAGGGUGCGAGCGUUGUCCGGAAUUACUGGGCGUAAAGAGCUCGUAGGCGGCUUGUCGCGUUGUUCGUGAAAAUUUACCGCUCAACGGUGAACUUGCGGGCGAUACGGGCAGGCUAGAGUACUGCAGGGGAGACUGGAAUUCCUGGUGUAGCGGUGAAAUGCGCAGAUAUCAGGAGGAACACCGGUGGCGAAGGCGGGUCUCUGGGCCGAAACUGACGCUGAGGAGCGAAAGCGUGGGGAGCAAACAGG